rnacentral:lncRNA from 1 species
AGAUAAGCCACCUGGGGAUGGAGUGUAAAGCCCUACAUCCAGAAAGCCUCGCUCAUACACCUGUUUUCCAUCCCUAGCAGGUGUGGUGACAUUAUUCUGUUUUGGAAAACCUGGGUUGAUUUUCAGCAUAUUUUCUUGGUGUCAUAUGAGGAAUCUGAGUGUCAGUUUCAAUUCGCAUGAAAUAUCUGGGUUUACAUGGUAACAAGGAGACUUUCUACUCUCAGAGACAUUGUAACUGGAGGGCUUACAAAUAGUGCCGGAGAAAUGAACCAAUGGAUAAAGGACUUGCUGAACUGAACUCAUGGAAGUGUUCGAUCCCAAAUAGAGGAAGUCAUAGCAACAAGAGCUAUUCAUCUUUCAUCUUUCAGCAACUCCUCAUGUUCUCGUCAUCAUCAUCUGAAUAUCAAAACAAUCCAGCUGAGCAGAAGGUUCACAUGACUCUUCCCAUUUUGCAAUGAAGGAAUGGAAGUGUGGGGACACGGAUCACCUAAAUAAAAAUUGCCAUUAUUUGUAUGCUCA